rnacentral:lncRNA from 1 species
AUCCCUGAUCUAUCUAUCCCAAGUUGCCUUGGGUCUGAGAUUUCUACAGUAACUCAAUCGGUCACCAGCUUUGUGCCAUAGGUUUCCCCACGCGGUUUUGAAAGUCAGUCAGCUUCCAAGUAAUUUAUUCUCAAGCCUCAAGGCAUCUCAUUGGGCUAACUAUUGUUACAGAAAAGUUGGAAGACCUGUUCCUUAUUUAUAAGUAAAUAAGAACUCUCUUAGCCAAUGAAGUCACUAAGCCCUAGCAACCAUUUUGGAUUACAUUGAAACCCAGACAUGUGAUGGGGGAAAAGGGAGGUGUUGGCAUCCCCCCUAAGAUCUAUCUCUUUCUGUGGUGAUAUAAUUAGGAAGGAGUCCAUGUCUCCAAAUUCAUCUCCCUGAUAGUCCUUGAGGGCUAUUUGCCAGUCAGAGAUGUCUUGGG